rnacentral:rRNA from 1 species
UACGGAGGGGGCUAGCGUUGUUCGGAAUUACUGGGCGUAAAGCGCACGUAGGCGGCUUUGUAAGUCAGAGGUGAAAUCCCAGUGCUCAACACUGGAACUGCCUUUGAGACUGCAUCGCUUGAAUCCGGGAGAGGUGAGUGGAAUUCCGAGUGUAGAGGUGAAAUUCGUAGAUAUUCGGAAGAACACCAGUGGCGAAGGCGGCUCACUGGACUGGUAUUGACGCUGAGGUGCGAAAGCGUGGGGAGCAAACAGG